rnacentral:rRNA from 1 species
GAUGAACGCUGGCGGCGUGCCUAAUACAUGCAAGUCGAGCGAACGGACGAGAAGCUUGCUUCUCUGAUGUUAGCGGCGGACGGGUGAGUAACACGUGGAUAACCUACCUAUAAGACUGGGAUAACUUCGGGAAACCGGCGCUAAUACCGGAUAAUAUUUUGAACCGCAUGGUUCAAAAGUGAAAGACGGUCUUGCUGUCACUUAUAGAUGGAUCCGCGCUGCAUUAGCUAGUUGGUAAGGUAACGGCUUACCAAGGCAACGAUGCAUAGCCGACCUGAGAGGGUGAUCGGCCACACGGGAAGUGAGACACGGUCCAGACUCCUACGGGAGGCAGCAGUAGGGAAUCUUCCGCAAUGGGCGAAAGCCUGACGGAGCAACGCCGCGUGAGUGAUGAAGGUCUUCGGAUCGUAAAACUCUGUUAUUAGGGAAGAACAUAUGUGUAAGUAACUGUGCACAUCUUGACGGUACCUAAUCAGAAAGCCACGGCUAACUACGUG